rnacentral:rRNA from 14 species
UCCUGGCUCAGAACGAACGCUGGCGGCAGGCCUAACACAUGCAAGUCGAGCGAACCUUCGGGUUAGCGGCGGACGGGUGAGUAACGCGUGGGAACGUACCCUCUUCUGCGGGAUAGCCACUGGAAACGGUGAGUAAUACCGCAUACGCCCUUUGGGGGAAAGAUUUAUCGGAGGAGGAUCGGCCCGCGUUGGAUUAGGUAGUUGGUGGGGUAAUGGCCUACCAAGCCUACGAUCCAUAGCUGGUUUUAGAGGAUGAUCAGCCACACUGGGACUGAGACACGGCCCAGACUCCUACGGGAGGCAGCAGUGGGAAUUUUCCGCAAUGGACGAAAGUCUGACGGAGCGACGCUGCGUGAAGGAUGACGGCCUGCGGGUUGUAAACUUCUUUUCUCGAAGAAGAAUAAAUGACGGGAUUCGAGGAAUAAGCAUCGGCU